rnacentral:rRNA from 1 species
UUUCCAUUUCUCAAUGAGUCUACACUAUGUGAUACGGCUAAAAAGCAAAAAAAAAUAUUGUUUUGCAGUUUUUUGUAAUUUUGACUCACGAAGGAAGUGAAAUGCUCUUUACAAAAUGAAACACAUGCCGCACUGCACAAAAUUGGUCAAACAAACAGAUGUUGUUUCCUUCGCCAACGCACUGCAUGAACACACAUGCCGCACUGCAAAGAACAUGCCCACGCACUGCGUGAAACGUGCCCGCCAAACGGAACUACAAAAUGAUUCAAAAAUAAUAAUUCAUCAUGGAAUGUAGCCGCCACUACAAACUGCAACCACGGGUGAUGCCCGGUCCGAAGAUCACACGUGCACGCGGAGUGGCAGUGCACUGCGCCGCCACGCUCGUGCUGCCCCAGCGAGGGAGAAGGGAAGGUGGAAGAGGGUUGUCAAUGUCGGUGGCUUCGUCUCCGCGAUCCCAGCGAGGUGGUGGCCACUCACAAUGUGCCUCUGCUGUGGUAGUGCCGGCGAAUUGAACAUCCACGCUCCGUGAACCGCGCGCCAGGAGCCCAGUCAGAGGAGCUGCUCUCACCGGGGGGUCGUUGGUGUGGGGUGGAUCAGGUCGGCGUGGAGGAUCAGCGGUGCGGCUCUUGCAACGCUGGCGGUCGGAGCAAGGCCCGGCUUUUGGCGCCCAUUGAGAAGCACCUCGCUGGUGGGGAGGGGAUGCAGGGAGGCCACCGCAGGGUGGCUGGGGCGGAUCCACGCCAGCAGCAGCGCGGGGCAUCUGGGGCAGCGCAUCCGGAUCCACACCGGCAGCCGCAUGAGGUGCCUUGGGGUGGCGCCGCCAGAUCCAUGCCGGCAGCCGCACGGGGCUCCUGGGGGCGGCGUGCCUGGAUCCGCUCCUGGUUUUGCACCGGCAGCCGCGCGAGACGCCUGGGACGGUGCGGCGGCGCGGGAAGGUGGCGAUCUAGGUGGGGAAGGUCGGGCGAUGGUGGAGGACGGGGGGAAGAGAGAAAGGGGUUGGGCGGGUGGAAUGAGCGUAGAAGGCGACGGGAGGUCGCCGGGAUUGGGUGGUGGCUGAGCGACGCUGCGAGAGGGUGGGCCGGGGUGCUGCGCGUCGCUGCGGGAGGGGAGGAAGGAGGUGGAGAGGAUAAGGGAGUGGGUGGAGUGGAAGGGUCG